rnacentral:rRNA from 1 species
AGAAUUUGAUCCUGGUUCAGGAUGAAUGCUGGCAGUGUACCUUAAGCAUGCAAGUCGAACGGACGAGGCCGCAAGGCCGAGUCAGUGGCAGACGGGUGAGAAUAGACAGGAACCUACCUUUUGUUGGGGAAUAGCUCGCCGAAAGGCGAGAUAAUACCGCAUAAGAUCGUAAGAUGAAAGGCCUUAACCGGCCGACGAUAGAUGGGCCUGUUUGCUAUCAGCUAGUUGGUGAGGUAAUGGCUCACCAAGGCUAUGACGGCUAGGGGGCGUGAGAGCGCGGCCCCCCACAAUGUUACUUAGACACGGAACAUACACCUACGGGUGGCAGCAACUGGGAAUUUUGCACAAUGGACGAAAGUCUGAUGCAGUGACACUGCGUGCGGGAUGAAGGCCCUCGGGUCGUAAACCGCUGUGGUAGAGGAAAAAAUUUUGAUGGUACUUUACUAGAAAGCACCUGCUAACCACGUGCCAGAAGCCUCGGUAAUACGUGGGGUGCAAGCAUUAUCCGGAUUUAUUGGGCGUAAAGAGUAUCGUAGGCGGUCGAUUAAGUAGCGGGUUAAAGCCUGGGGCUCAACCCCAGAGAUGCUCGCUAAACUAGUCGACUUGUGGAUGUUCGGGGUUGCUAGAAUUCUUGGUGGAAGAGUGAAAUCUGUUGAUAUCAAGAAGAAUACCAAAAGCGAAGGCAGGCAACUAGAACAUUCCAGACGCUGAUGAACGAAAGCUAGGGGAGCGAAAGGGAUUAGAGACCCCUGUAGUCCUAGCCGUAAACUAUGAACACUAGCUAUUUCUCGCAAGGGGAGUGGUGAAAGCUAACGCGUUAAGUGUUCCGCCUGGGGAGUACGGCCGCAAGGCUAAAACUCAAAGGAAUUGACGGGGAAACGCACAAUCAGCGUGCCAUGUGGUUUAAUUGGAUACGAAACCUUGAACCUUACCUAGAUUUGACAUGUAACUGCAAGCCCCUGGAAACAGGGGAAUCCUUCGAGGGUGUUACACAGCUGCUGCAUGGUUGUCGUCAGUUCGUGUCGUGAGGCGUCGGCUUAAGUGCCGUAACGAACGCAACCCCUGUGCUAUGUUAAAUAUCCAUAGCAGACUGCCUUGGAUUUUUCCAAGGAGGAAGGAGGGGAUGACGUCAAAUCAGCAUGGCGCUUAUAUCUAGGGCUACACACAUGGCGUAAUGGAUGGGACAACGGGAUGCCAAGGCGCGAGCCGGAGCUAAUCCUUAUAAACCCAUCCUCAGUUUGGAUUGCAGGCUGCAAUUCGCCUGCAUGAAAGGGAGUUGAUAGUAAUCGCGGAUCAGCAACACCGCGGUGAAUACGUUCUCGUUUCUUGUACACACUGCCCGUCAAGUCAACAAAGUCAGUAGUGCCCGAAGUAGGUACCCGCAACCGCAAGGAUCGGGCCUCCUAAGGUAAGACUGGCGAUGGGGGCUAAGUCGUAACAAGGUAUCCGUACUGGAAGGUGCGGAUG